rnacentral:misc_RNA from 1 species
UUUUUUUUUUUUAGUCACACAAAAACCUAGUUUACCUACCAGAUUGCAAAGAACAGAAGCAGGAUGAUACUACAACAAAUUGAGAAGAUUUACUAGAACUUUUAAUAACUGCAGAUUACUCAUGCAAUCCACAAAACCUUUUUUGGCCCCCAGUCCCACCAUCAAAGUUCCAAGAAUAAAACCUCACAAAAUAUAAUUUUUGCAAAGGAAAAGAGAGAAACAUGUCACAGGACAUAGAACAGCUUGUGGGAAUAAUGUAUUGUAUCAAAUCACAUUGAUAACACUAAUGAUAUUAGAUAUUUUAAUUAGCAAGUAGCAUUUUCAUACUGUUUGAAACUCAAAUCAUCCGCUACCACAUAUGUUUCUGUUACUUAUCAAAGGAGGAAGUAUAGAAAG